AUACGGAGGGUGCGAGCGUUAAUCGGAAUUACUGGGCGUAAAGGGUCCGUAGGCGGUCUGCUUAGUCUGAUGUGAAAGCCCCGGGCUUAACCUGGGAAUGGCAUUGGAUACUGGCGGACUAGAGUCUGGUAGAGGGUGGUGGAAUUCCCGGUGUAGCGGUGAAAUGCGUAGAUAUCAGGAGGAACACCAGUGGCGAAGGCGGCCACCUGGACCAAGACUGACGCUGAGGGACGAAAGCGUGGGGAGCAAACAGGAUUAGAAACCCCUGUAGUCC
rnacentral:rRNA from 1 species